rnacentral:miRNA from 1 species
ACCGAGUUCGGAUGGUGGAUAGA